rnacentral:rRNA from 3 species
UCUCCGUGGUGAACCAGCGGAGGGAUCAUUA